CAGCAGCCGCGGGAAUACGUAGGUGGUAAGCGUUGUCCGGAAUUAUUGGGCGUAAAGGGCUCGCAGGCGGUUUCUUAAGUCUGAUGUGAAAGCCCCCGGCUCAACCGGGGAGGGUCAUUGGAAACUGGGAAACUUGAGUGCAGAAGAGGAGAGUGGAAUUCCACGUGUAGCGGUGAAAUGCGUAGAGAUGUGGAGGAACACCAGUGGCGAAGGCGACUCUCUGGUCUGUAACUGACGCUGAGGAGCGAAAGCGUGGGGAGCGAACAGGAUUAGAUACCCGCGUAGUCCCUGUCUCUUAUAC
rnacentral:rRNA from 1 species